AGGACGAACGCUGGCGGCGUGCUUAACACAUGCAAGUCACGGGGGUCCCGCAAGGGAUAACCGGCGAACGGGUGCGUAACACGUGAGCAACCUGCCUUUGUGUGGGGGAUAGCCGGGCUAACGCCCGGGUAAUACCGCAUACGGUUCCCGAGGGGAGUCCCUUGGGAAAGAAACCUCCGGGGCACAGAGAGGGGCUCGCGGCCUAUCAGCUAGUUGGCGGGUAAUGGCCCACCAAGGCGACGACGGGUAGCU
rnacentral:rRNA from 1 species